rnacentral:tRNA from 1 species
UUAAUUGAAACCAAAAUAUAGAGGUAUGUCACUGUUAAUGACACCAUUGGGGUAACCCCAAUUAAA